AGGAAGCAUAUCAACAUUUGCAGAACCAGUAUUUGUAAUUUCAGUGCAAAGGAUCUCACAAAGAUCUCAAAACCCAUAUAAUGCAGGCUUGGGAAAGAAUUACUAUACUUAAGGAGUGAGGAAUCUGCAAAAGGAGAAGCAGGUGCCUUGCUGGAACCCAGGGAGCUACAGGAGAGAGAACAAGGCUGAGAACUACAGGA